UGCCCCCGUAGCUCAGUGGAUAGAGCAGUGGCCUCCGGAGCCAUGUGCGGGCGUUCGAGUCGCCCCGGGGGUAU
rnacentral:tRNA from 1 species